rnacentral:tRNA from 1 species
UAGGCUGAUGGCUCAAUUGGUAGAGUUGCGGUCUCCAAAACCGCCGGUUGGGGGUUCGAGUCCCUCUCAGCCUGU